rnacentral:rRNA from 1 species
GAUCCUGGCUCAGAUUGAACGCUGGCGGCAGGCCUAACACAUGCAAGUCGAGCGGUAGAGAGGNGCUUGCACCUCUUGAGAGCGGCGGACGGGUGAGUAAUGCCUAGGAAUCUGCCUGGUAGUGGGGGAUAACGCUCGGAAACUGGCGCUAAUACCGCAUACGUCCUACGGGAGAAAGCAGGGGACCUUCGGGCCUUGCGCUAUCAGAUGAGCCUAGGUCGGAUUAGCUAGUUGGUGAGGUAAUGGCUCACCAAGGCGACGAUCCGUAACUGGUCUGAGAGGAUGAUCAGUCACACUGGAACUGAGACACGGUCCAGACUCCUACGGGAGGCAGCAGUGGGGAAUAUUGGACAAUGGGCGAAAGCCUGAUCCAGCCAUGCCGCGUGUGUGAAGAAGGUCUUCGGAUUGUAAAGCACUUUAAGUUGGGAGGAAGGGCAGUUACCUAAUACGUAUCUGUUUUGACGUUACCGACAGAAUAAGCACCGGCUAACUCUGUGCCAGCAGCCGCGGUAAUACAGAGGGUGCAAGCGUUAAUCGGAAUUACUGGGCGUAAAGCGCGCGUAGGUGGUUCGUUAAGUUGGAUGUGAAAUCCCCGGGCUCAACCUGGGAACUGCAUUCAAAACUGACGAGCUAGAGUAUGGUAGAGGGU